rnacentral:rRNA from 1 species
CAGCCGCCGCGGUAAUACGUAGGGUGCGAGCGUUAAUCGGAUUUACUGGGCGUAAAGCGUGCGCAGGCGGCCCGUUAAGACAGGUGUGAAAUCCCUGGGCUCAACCUAGGAAUUGCGCUUGUGACUGGCGGGCUCGAGUACGGUAGAGGGGGGUGGAAUUCCUGGUGUAGCAGUGAAAUGCGUAGAGAUCAGGAGGAACACCGAUGGCGAAGGCAGCCCCCUGGGCCUGUACUGACGCUCAUGCACGAAAGCGUGGGGAGCAAACAGGAUUAGAUACCCUGGUAGUCCACGCCCUAAACGAUGGGUACUAGCCGUUUGGUGCGCGAUAGCGCUGAGUGGCGAAGCUAACGCGUGAAGUACCCCGCCUGGGGAGUACGGCCGCAAGGUUGAAGCUUAAAGGAAUUGGCGGG